rnacentral:rRNA from 1 species
GACGAGUUUGAUCAUGGCUCAGAGCGAACGUUAGCGGCGGGCCUAACACAUGCAAGUCGAACGCGAAAGGUCUUCGGACUGAGUAGAGUGGCGCACGGGUGAGUAACACGUAGGUAAUCUACCCUUUGGCGGGGGAUAACGUUCCGAAAGGAGCGCUAAUACCGCAUAAGACCACGGAGUCUCCGGACGCUGUGGGAAAAGGUGGCCUCUUCUUGAAAGCUACCACCGAAGGAUGAGCCCGCGUCUGAUUAGCUAGUUGGUGAGGUAAUGGCUCACCAAGGCGACGAUCAGUAGCUGGUUUGAGAGAAUGACCAGCCACACUGGGACUGAGACACGGCCCAGACUCCUACGGGAGGCAGCAGUGGGGAAUAUUGGACAAUGGGCGCAAGCCUGAUCCAGCCAUGCCGCGUGAGUGACGAAGGCCUUAGGGUUGUAAAGCUCUUUUGGCGGGGACGAUAAUGACGGUACCGCAGAAUAAGCCCGGCUAACUUCGUG